rnacentral:tRNA from 1 species
GCCCCAGUAGCUUAGCCUGGACAUAGCGCUGGCCUUCUAAGCCAGAGGUCACGGGUUCAACUCCCGUCUGGGGCG